GACAGGUGCUGCAUGGCUGUCGUCAGCUCGUGUUGUGAAAUGUUGGGUUAAGUCUCGCAACGAGCGCAACCCCUAUCUUUAGUUGCCAGCAUUAAGUUGGGCACUCUAGAGAGACUGCCCGGGUUAACCGGGAGGAAGGUGGGGAUGACGUCAAGUCCUCAUGGCCCUUAUGCCUAGGGCUACACACGUAAUACAAUGGUGCAUACAAAGGGAAGCGAGCGCGCGAGUGUUAGCAAAUCCCAAAAAGUGCAUCUCAGUCCGGAUUGGAGUCUGCAACUCGACUCCAUGAAGUUGGAAUCGCUAGUA
rnacentral:rRNA from 1 species